rnacentral:rRNA from 1 species
UUGCCCUAGUAACGGCGAGUGAAGCGGCAACAGCUCAAAUUUGAAAUCUGGCUUCGGCCCGAGUUGUAAUUUGUAGAGGAAGCUUUAGGCGCGGCACCUUCUGAGUCCCCUGGAACGGGGCGCCAUAGAGGGUGAGAGCCCCGUAUAGUUGGAUGCCUAGCCUGUGUAAAGCUCCUUCGACGAGUCGAGUAGUUUGGGAAUGCUGCUCAAAAUGGGAGGUAAAUUUCUUCUAAAGCUAAAUACCGGCCAGAGACCGAUAGCGCACAAGUAGAGUGAUCGAAAGAUGAAAAGCACUUUGAAAAGAGGGUUAAAUAGCACGUGAAAUUGUUGAAAGGGAAGCGCUUGUGACCAGACUUGCGCCGGGCUGAUCAUCCGGUGUUCUCACCGGUGCACUCUGCCCGGCUCAGGCCAGCAUCGGUUCUCGCGGGGGGAUAAAGGCCCAGGGAAUGUAGCUCCUCCGGGAGUGUUAUAGCCCGGGGCGCAAUGCCCUCGCGGGGACCGAGGUUCGCGCUCUGCAAGGAUGCUGGCGUAAUGGUCAUCAGCGACCCGUCUUGAAACACGGACCAAGGAGUCAAGGUUUUGCGCGAGUGUUUGGGUGUAAAACCCGCACGCGUAAUGAAAGUGAACGUAGGUGAGAGCUUCGGCGCAUCAUCGACCGAUCCUGAUGUUUUCGGAUGGAUUUGAGUAAGAGCGUUAAGCCUUGGACCCGAAAGAUGGUGAACUAUGCUUGGAUAGGGUGAAGCCAGAGGAAACUCUGGUGGAGGCUCGCAGCGGUUCUGACGUGCAAAUCGAUCGUCAAAUCUGAGCAU